AGUGAACGCUGGCGGUAGGCCUAACACAUGCAAGUCGAACGGCAGCACAGUAAGAGCUUGCUCUUGCGGGUGGCGAGUGGCGGACGGGUGAGGAAUACAUCGGAAUCUACUUUUUCGUGGGGGAUAACGUAGGGAAACUUACGAUAAUACCGCAUGCGACCUACGGGUGAAAGCAGGGGAUCUUCGGACCUUGCGCGAUUGAAUGAGCCGAUGUCGGAUUAGCUAGUUGGCGGGGUAAAGGCCCACCAAGGCGACGAUCCGUAGCUGGUCUGAGAGGAUGAUCAGCCACACUGGAACUGAGACACGGUCCAGACUCCUACGGGAGGCAGCAGUGGGGAAUAUUGGACAAUGGGCGCAAGCCUGAUCCAGCCAUACCGCGUGGGUGAAGAAGGCCUUCGGGUUGUAAAGCCCUUUUGUUGGGAAAGAAAAGCAGCAGGUUAAUCCCCCGCUGUUCUGACGGUACCCAAAGAAUAAGCACCGGCUAACUUCGUG
rnacentral:rRNA from 1 species